AGCCUUCUGUAUCCGUGCUGAGAUUCCGUCAGCAAGCAACCCGCUGGCGUUGGCUGAUGCAACUUCCCAAAUAAGUGAAGUG
rnacentral:pre_miRNA from 1 species